AUCACAGAACACAUUGCAGUGCUCGAAAACACUCCAGCGUGUCUAUGGACAUCUUGUUCUCUCCUUCUGUCCUUGAGGUGUCAGGUUUCCUUGUUUACAGUCUGCCUCAUUCAGGAUCUGGAAUUCCUAAAGAGCAGUAAAACCCUAUCAUGUGACUGAAGACUGAUUUCCAGGAAAAGCGGAAGAGGUUCUAGGAAAGAUCUGCCUUUGUGAUGACCACUCCCAGAGCAAUCAAGCCUGAGGAAAUUUGUGUCUGAACUGAUGAAGCUCAGUUUUAUUCUCAGCUCCUCACUGGAAAUUUGAAAGUUUUUGUUCUACCUUCACUUUUUCCAUAGUGUUCCUAAUUAAAGAUCUGUGGGUUAAUUCCAUCUG